rnacentral:lncRNA from 1 species
AAGGGGCAGACGCUCACGUCCGAGGUUACCGGGAAGGGUUAACUCUUUGUUGUGGGGCUGGCGCUGUAGACGCUGCCUUCUCUAGUUCCCUUCCUACCAGGGGAAACAACUCUGCCCGCUUGCGGAGGUAGCUCUUGCAAAACACCGACUUCAGAGAUCGUGUUUAAGAACGGUCUGUUUCCUCAGCAGAAAGCUUUGCUUUUCCUGCUCCUAAGGAAGAAAAUGCUGGCCUGAUUAUUCUUUGGAUUUAUAAGUCAAAUUUAAAUGUACCUUCUCCACAACUCCACCUAGAAUAUGCAAACCCGUGGUGGUAAAUUUUAAGAAGGCCUGCAAUCUCAAACACAAGGUCUUAUAAUGAAGGCCUUCCCGUGGAACCAGGAGCGGACUUUGGAAAUUUUGUACUUUGCCCCUGCCUUUUUGCUGUAACUCGUUUCAUAUCUCUUCUAUUUAUUAACCUUCUGCCCUUUGCAGAGUGAGC